rnacentral:rRNA from 1 species
UACGUAGGGGGGCAAGCGUUGUCCGGAUUUAUUGGGCGUAAAGAGCGUGUAGGCGGCCAAGCAGGUCAGCUGUGAAAACUCGAGGCUCACCUCGAGACGUCGGUUGAAACCGCUUGGCUAGAGUCCGGAAGAGGAGAGUGGAAUUCCCGGUGUAGCGGUGAAAUGCGCAGAUAUCGGGGAAGAACACCCGUGGCGAAGGCGGCUCUCUGGGACGGUACUGACGCUGAGACGCGAAAGCGUGGGGGAGCGAACAGG